rnacentral:tRNA from 1 species
GGAGGGGUGUCCGAGUGGUUGAAGGAGCACGCCUGGAAAGUGUGUAUACGCUAACCGCGUAUCGAGGGUUCGAAUCCCUCCCUCUCCGCCA